UACAAGGUUGAGAGAUCUUUGCAGACGG
rnacentral:sRNA from 1 species